CAGCAAUGUGACACCCACUGUGUAUGUCGAGACAGCUGGAACAACACGUAUGGCUGCAUUCGUUACGAGACACAGCAAAACAGCUACAAGUAUUGUGCCUUACAAGAUACAGAUAAUUUUGUGGAGGUCUAUGACCUACGGGCAGAUCCCUAUGAAUUAAUCAACAUUGCCAAGACUGCCUCCCCUGACCUACUGACCAAGUUAAGUCAAGAUCUUGCUGACCUUUCUAUGUGUGCUGGUGAGACCUGUCACAAGAAGAGUUCCAGUUCUUUCAACAUCAACUAAUUCUCUCCAUUAACAUUGGUAAUAUCUCAUUCCACAGACUGGGACAUAGGUCCAACUGCUAUGUUCAAUAUCUUGUAUAUAUAAACCUGUUUGCAUUUAAUUUUUGACACAGUUGUUAUGUAAUAUUUAUUGAUGUUACACUUUGACAUCUGCGCCCCUCCCCCCAUUAUUUUUAUCGCACCAAAAUCAAAAGUUGAGUUAGUAAAAUUUAAAGAAACAAAACUGUAUCCUUUUUUUUUUAUGUGUAAGCAUUUGCGUGAUGUAAUUAUAAUUUCUCAUCUAGGUUGCUGUGAUAAUUGAUAAUAUUAUGGCAUAUGUAAAAAUGGUGGGCUUGUUUUUUCUCUCAAAUGUAGGUUUUAUAUUAAAAAUUAAUAAAACAAUGUCAUACUGCAAUAAUGUUAAUGUUAUUACUGUAUGGUAGCACACUUGGGCUUCUACGGACUUUACUUUACUAGAGUAACAUUGGAACAUAACAAUUGCCUAUAUUGAUAGCCUUUAGGGAGUCUUUGAUAAGAAAAAAAAAUAUGAUGGAAAUCGAGACUUGCCAGUGAUAAUGAUUGACAGCUAGCCUGGUACAUCUAAUCUUACUCCCAACAUCAACUAAAUAAAUGUACAAGGACAGUUUUAUUUUUUCCUUUUUAAAGAUUCUGCAGCUAUCAGACAAUUAAAUACAUGUUAAGCAUUUUGAGUAGAACAUUUGUCAUUUGAUCCUGUAGUCCAGUGUUUUUUUACUUGGUAAACAAGAGAAAUGCAUCUAAAGAAAGUUGGCCUUAUUGACAGUCUGUUUGUGAUAAUGCUGGGUACCUGAGAUACUUAGAACUAUUUUCUUUUAAAUUUUUUGUUUCGUUAAUGUGAUUUCUCAUAUUUUAUAUAUGGCAAACAAGCCUGUAAUUAUUAAAACUUAGGUUUAACUAGGCAAUGGUCACAUCAAUCAAGGCUAUAAUAUUUGCUUUGAUAAAAAAUGAAAACAUACUCUACAGUGAUAACUAAGAAUCGUAUCUAAAAUAUUUACUUACAAUAUUCUACAGUGAAAUUUAAAUUCACUUCAGAAACUGCUUUUCCGCUGUCUUCCUUCUUGACAUUUAAAUGUGAUAGUUCUUGCUGUGCAUAAAUUUUUUAUAGGAUUGUUUUUUUUUAUAUUAUUUCCAG
rnacentral:sRNA from 1 species